rnacentral:rRNA from 1 species
UACGUAGGGUGCGAGCGUUAAUCGGAAUUACUGGGCGUAAAGCGUGCGCAGGCGGUUCUAUAAGACAGAUGUGAAAUCCCCGGGCUCAACCUGGGAACUGCAUUUGUGACUGUAGAGCUGGAGUGCGGCAGAGGGGGAUGGAAUUCCGCGUGUAGCAGUGAAAUGCGUAGAGAUGUGGAGGAAUACCGAUGGCGAAGGCAGCCCCCUGGGAUAACACUGACGCUCAUGCACGAAAGCGUGGGGAGCAAACAGG